CUACUCCUCCUUAAAUUUUAGUCUGAUUUCAAUAUAACUUGGCACACAAGUAGACUAUACUAAGAUACAUAAUUCUGUGCAUCAGUUUUUGAUAAGUACAAACCAGUAGAGCUACAGUCUCGACAGAGACUUCUGGUUAUUUUUUUCUUCCAUCCCGGUUGUUGCUAAUGCUAUUACAUAAUUAGUUUAAAUUAGAAUGCAAUAGUACCUGGACAUAAUUUAUCAUUUCAGAGAGAAGAAAACUGUGUGACUUUAAAAGAAAACCAGUGAGAUAAAAUCAUAGAAAAUGUAUGAUGAUUCAGGGUGUGGUCAUUUGGUCCUGUUCUGUGGAUGCCCUAAGACAGUGUCUACCCAUCACUCCAUCUGAUAUCACUUGUUCUGUGCAUAUUUCUCUCUCAAACUUAAACUACAGAGAACCUGUGGAUAGAGGAUGAAGAGUGACCUUGAACUAAUUUUCUAGGUCAAAGAUCAUAGGUGAUGUGAAGAAAACCAGGAAACUGAUGUUGAAAGAAGUACUUAAUGACUCUUAUGAAUGGACUUAAAUGUGAAAGACUGUUCCAUUGUUUAUCUAAGAUAUAUGAAUUUAUUUAAUAUUUUGAUAUCAUUGAAAAAUUCAGUUACAGUUUUUGUACAUCAAAUGAAUUAUUAAACAUAUAAAAUGGUAA